GAGAUACACCUUUUUCCAGUGAUUAUAAAUAGCUAAUCGUUCGUAUAUUGGCGUUUGGUAGAAGAGGUUUUGUGACUUAAUCUAUCAUUUGAUUGGAGCGGACAUAUUCCCAGUUUGGCACCAUCUUCUCCGCCUUCUCAGCAUAUAAGCACGUGCUCCAUACUUUCUUUUCAUCGCAAAUCCACUCUCAACAGCAUCCUCCGAGUGAAGUGGCUUCGAACGGAAAGCGAAAGCUCACAUACGAGGGAAGUCUGUCUGGUGUUGCAAGUGCUAGACAGGCCGACAAGGUGAAGGGCGACCAAACGCGCCGUUCAUGGACUAAACGCGAGGAAGAGGCUUUGUUGGUGGCGCUCCAUGAUCUAGUCGCGGGAGGGUGGAAAUCUGAUAACGAAUUCCGCAAUGGCUACGCCACUAGGGAGUAUAAGGUUAUGAAACGCAAGAUUCCAGAUACACAGCUAAAGGUGUGUCCACACAUCAACUCCAAGAUCACAAUGUGGAAGCGUGAGUACGGAGCUCUGUCUCUCGUACUUGAUCGUAGCGGGGUUGGGUUUAACUCGAACAACGACUACAAAAUUGAAUGCAACGACGAGCAAUAGGCCCAAAUUGUCAAGAUGCGUUUUAAGUUAUGCUUUAUGCCCAAACAUGUGACGUAUUUUUUGUGACACAUAGUGCUCCCAUUUUUUGAUAUCAUAGGCCGAUAGCAGUGUGAAAACUAUGCACAACAAGUCGUGGCCAUACUGGGAGGGCUGGAAGUCUAUAUUCGGGAAGGAUCGAGGCAACGUUGUACGGGCAGAGGAUUUGACCCAGGCUGAUGAGCUGCUGAACGGCAAUGACAUAUCUGUGGCAGACGAAUCACAACCAAAUAUGGCUCCGUACACAGUUGAGGACUUCUUCACAGGUGAUCAGAUCGACAAGACCCUCAACUUUGAAGCUACAACUGAUGUGCUGCUAGUUGACAGUGACACGAAAAGUGUUAGGAGCCAAGCUCUAUGAAGAAGAACAGCCGCAAGAGGAAGCCGGAGGAUGUGUUGGAGUCUAUGACGGAUGUGAUGACGAAGAUACAUGAGGAUACUAGUGAUCGCCUUCAGACUUUAUCCUCUCGAAUCGGCUACGACUUCGAUUUGAGUACGAAGCGAGUUGAGAUCAGCAAGAUGCUUGACGAUAUCCCUCUUCUACCGCAGAAGCCCGGUUCCAUGGCGCUACACAUUCUUGUCAAGGAGCCAGAACUACCCCCAUAUGCAGGUUAUAAUUCAACAACCAUAUAGAUUUGACUCCGUCGUCCUCAACCCCCCCCCCCCCCCCCUCGUGGCAAAACUACCCCCAUAUGCAGGUUAUAAUUCAAUGUGUUUAAGAUGGGAGGUUGGCCAUCCAAUCAUCCUGAUUUUACAAAAUCUCGCUCUGUACUCUUAUUUAUUACAUCAUAUCGUGUAGAGGAUUUGCAUUGGUGAAUUAGUGAGCAGCACCACACUUACUUGUGUUGUAAUGAAUAUCUUAUGUGCAUAAUUAUACUCACGUAUUGAUACGCUCGGAUUUUGCACGGUUUUAAGGCCAUCUUUUGGUCCGUUUUCAAUGUCAAAGUUGCAUUACAUGUCCAUUAUUUGCAUAUUUUUAUCUAUUUUGGUAUUUUGACAUGUUUUGUGAGAAAUGUGCAUAUUUGAGCCUAAAAAGGGAGUUAAAACGCGAAGUUGGAAAUCUGGAGCUGUUCUGCAUGUCCAGCGGUUCGCUGCAACACUGUUGACGACCGCUGGUGCCCAACGACCGCUAAGCCAAUAGCGGCUCGCUCCGGGAAAGUUGUGCCUGAAGUCAAGACACGCCGAGCGGCCGCUAGAAGAUGCGUGGUGACCGCUACCGAGAGUCCAGAGAGUUACGGGAUGAUGGCUAGCGAUCGCUAAAGCAAGUGAAGCGGCCCGCCAGCCAAGAGACAGAAGCCUCGGACCAACCCACAGCGACGGCUGGCCAAGGUGCAGCGGCCUGCUGGGAAAUAGCGGCGAGCAGAAUUUGCCCUACUUUCUCAUCAAGAUUUACCAUAUUUUGCAACCCUUUUCCUUAUAUGAUGAGGGGCGAUUUCCCCCCUAUAAAUAGCCCUCAAAGCUUCAUCAAAAAUAGAUCUUCUCUUUGCCAAAUAUUUCUAGAGCUUAAAAGUUAGAGUGUUUCAUUGGCAAGGAGUUGAAUAAGGAAUCAAUAUCCGGUACUAACCUUUAGCUAUACUAUUCCUACUAUGUAUACUUGCAGGUAUUUAUAGUGCGAAUAAAAAAUGCAUCACAUAUAUACACCUCAUAUGUAGGUUAUCACUUAUGCAUAUCAUUUAUGUUGAUGUGGACACAUAUCUGCAUCCAUUAAUACCCACCCACUUGUUUGGUAUCCUAGUGAAUACAGUAGGCCAAAUUUUUUUCUAUAAAUAAGGGGAUGGUAGGAGCAGGUUUCUUCACACCUUCUCUCCACAAAAAAGCUUCGUAAAUUUGUUAUUCAUACCCCCCUCGACAGCAUCAAUCGCUCCAACCAUGGCAGGAGGAGUAGCUCGCGACUUUCUGAAUACUAUCAACGGGGUUCCUGUGCUGCCACCCUCCUUUGUGACUACAUUCUACGGCCCCAUCAACCGUAUGCGCAUGCCGCUGCCAGCUUCAUGGGACUCGGUUUACGGCGUCAUUGUCCCGAUCUUCUGUCGGGUAGCCCUUCCGAACCAAGCACAUUGGUUCUUCAACCUUUGUUUGGAGGAAUCACCUGGUGUUUCGGUCGAGGGUGGGAAAGUUUUGUCCUGCAUGCCGAGUUCCAACCGGGUGACGAGCUCAUGUUCGCAUAUCAAAGCGAUGGGCUCUUCAUUGUCAGCAUCAUCGACAACGGACCUCCACUUCAGUUAUUCGAUGAUCCGGGUAUGGUGUACUUUGAUAUGUGUUUCCAUUCGUCCCACUUUCCAAAAAAAAGAAUAUAUUAUUCGACAGCCAAAUGGUUAUGGUCAGCACCAAAAGAUCAUCACAAAUUAGGAAAAUCAACACCGCAAUCAAACACACAGCCAUAUCAAAAACAUCAUCAUGCACAGUAGGGGCAACCUACAACCAACUUCUGUGACGAGUCUACAGGACAUGCUCACCACCAAAAAUGUACAAAUCAACAAUUACAAGGGUGAAUAUCAAAGGCAUUUUCGUAAAAGGGUAUGAAAUGAGGAUGAAAAACAUGGGGGGAGUGAAUAUUUUCUGAGCAUCACAAAGGGAUUGUAUCAAUCAUAGUUGACCAUCAAAGAAGGGUGAGGAAUUCAUACCUGGGGAAAUGAUACUCGAUCUACUGGGUAGUAUGUGUCAAAUAAAGCUCAGCAAAUCCUUAUAUAUAAUGAAAUAGAACCAACAAAUUCACUUUAGAUCUCAGCAAUAAUCGAUGACAUACAUUUCAUAAUUCAAUUUGUCCAGAGCCUUUGUCCUAGCGGCAAGAAGCUUAGACAUUAUUGUAUGAGGUGCCGAGUUCGAGCCCUCUUGACAUCAGUUUUAAUUUCCUCCUAUCUAUAGGAGUUUAUUUGUAA